rnacentral:rRNA from 1 species
UGCAAGUCGACGGAUACUUUCGAGUAUUAGUGGCGAACGGUCGCGUAACACGUAGGCAACCUGCCCAAAAGUGGGGGACAACAGCUUGAAAGAGCUGCUAAUACCGCAUGUGGCUUCAUUGUGGCAUCACUUUGAAUCUAAAGCUUAAUGCGCUUUUGGAUGGGCUUGCGGCCUAUCAGGUAGUUGGUGGGGUAAUGGCCUACCAAGCCGACGACGGGUAGCUGGUCUGAGAGGACGAUCAGCCGGAUUGGGACUGAGAUACGGCCCAGACUCCUACGGGGGGCAGCAAUUAGGAAUCUUGCGCAAUGGGGGCAACCCUGACGCAGCGACGCCGCGUGCGGGAUGAAGGCAUUCGUGUCGUAAACCGCUUUUUACGGGGAAGAAGAAUUUGACGGUACCCGUCGAAUAAGCCCCGGCUAACUACGUGCCAGCAGCCGCGGUAAUACGUAGGGGGCGAGCGUUGUCCGAAGUUACUGGGCGUAAAGCGCGCGUAGGCGGCCAUUUAAGUUCGGGGUGAAAGGUUCAACGCUCAACGUGAACAGUGCCUUGAAUACUGGGUGGCUUGAGUUCGGGAGAGGGCAGUGGAAUUCCUGGUGUAGCGGUGAAAUGCGUAGAUAUCAGGAGGAACACCGAUGGCGAAGGCAGCUGCCUGGCCUAGAACUGACGCUGAGGUGCGAAAGCGUGGGGAGCGAACAGGAUUAGAUACCCUGGUAGUCCACGCCGUAAACGAUGAGUGCUAGGUGUUCGGGGUAUCGACCCCCCGGGUGCCGCCGCUAACGCAGUAAGCACUCCGCCUGGGGAGUACGGCCGCAAGGUUGAAACUCAAAGGAAUUGACGGGGGCCCGCACAAGCGGUGGAGCAUGGUGGAUUAAUUCGUCACUAACCGAAGAAUCUUACCCAGG